rnacentral:ncRNA from 1 species
CUACGGACUUGAUUGUAUUGAGCCUUGGUAUGGAAACCUGCUAAGUGGUAACUUCAAAAUUCAGAGAAACCCUGGAAUUAAAAAAGGGCAAUCCUGAGCCAAAUCCGUGUUUUGAGAAAACAAGGGGUUCUCGAACUAGAAUACAAAGGAAAAGGAUAGGUGCAGAGACUCAAUGGAAGCUGUUCUAACGAAUUGAGUUAUUACGUUGUGUUGUUAGUGGAAUUCCUUCUAAUUCUAAAUUAGAGAAAGAGGG